CCCGGGGCGCGAGCCCGGGCGGAGCGGCCGUCGGUGCAGAUCUUGGUGGUAGCCGCAAAUAUUCAAAUGAGAACUUUGAAGGCCGAAGAGGAGAAAGGUUCCAUGUGAACGGCACUUGCACAUGGGUAAGCCGAUCCUAAGGGACGGGGUAACCCCGGCAGAUAGCGCGAUCACGCGCAUCCCCCGAAAGGGAAUCGGGACAAGAUUUCCCGAGCCGGGAUGUGGCGGUUGGCGGCGGAGGCAGGGAGGCAGGGGGCG
rfam:Hordeum vulgare subsp. vulgare, WGS project CAJW01000000 data, contig: morex_contig_1539827